rnacentral:rRNA from 1 species
GGAGUUAGCCGGUGCUUCUUCUGUGAGUGAUGUCCUUCCUGCCGGCUAUUAACCCGCAGGCCUUCUUCCUCACUGAAAGUGCUUUACAACCCGAAGGCCUUCUUCACACACGCGGCAUGGCUGGAUCAGGGUUGCCCCCAUUGUCCAAUAUUCCCCACUGCUGCCUCCCGUAGGAGUCUGGGCCGUGUCUCAGUCCCAGUGUGGCUGAUCAUCCUCUCAGACCAGCUACGGAUCGUCGCCUUGGUGAGCCGUUACCUCACCAACCAGCUAAUCCGACAUAGGCUCAUCCGAUAGCGCGAGGCCCGAAGGUCCCCCGCUUUCCCCCGUAGGGCGUAUGCGGUAUUAGCCUGGGUUUCCCCAGGUUAUCCCCCACUACCGGGCAGAUUCCUAUGCAUUACUCACCCGUCCGCCGCUCGCCACCAGGGAGCAAGCUCCCCGUGCUGCCGCUCGACUUGCAUGUGUAGCUGCCGCCACGCGUCAUCUGAGCAGAAUACAACUACUGA